AGUGCUCAGCACUGCGUCGGUUCGCCUGCAUUCCAGGCGUCGCAAGAGGGAACCCGGUUGAAAUCCGGGACUGCCCCGCAGCGGUAAUCGGGAACGAACGCGUCAACAGCACUGGCUCUCACGAGCUGGGAAGCGACGCUAGUAGGCACGGCACACGCCACCGCCCGUAAGUCCGAAGACCUGCCGACGUGUCAUCGCCGAC
rnacentral:ncRNA from 2 species